ACAUGCCUACAACAUAGCGUUAAUGCAUUGGAUCCCAUUAGAACUACAUAGUUAAACACACUUAGGCUAGAAUAGUACUGGGAUGGGUGACCGUCCGGGAAGUCCUAGUGUUUUACAUGCC
rnacentral:rRNA from 1 species